AAAAAAAAAUCAAAAGAAGUAUAAAAAAAAAUGGAAACGAAAAAAAAUAAAAAAUGAACAGGCAAAAAUAUGAAACAAGAUAAAAUGAUAAAAAAGUUUUGUAGAAAUUUUUAAAACAAAAAAAAAUGUGAAACCCAAAAAAAAUAUGAAAGCACAUGAAAAGAUAAGUAAAAAAAUGAAAAAUUUAAAAUGAAAAAAGAAAAAGAGUUAAUGAAAAAUUAUAAAAAUAAAACAAAAAAUAACCAACAACGAUAAAAAAAAAAAGAUAAAAGAUAAAAAAAUAAAAAAUAAAAAAC
rnacentral:lncRNA from 1 species